UCAAAGGAGACUGCCAGUGAUAAACUGGAGGAAGGUGGGGAUGACGUCAAGUCAUCAUGGCCCUUACGACCAGGGCUACACACGUGCUACAAUGGCGCAUACAAAGAGAAGCGACCUCGCGAGAGCAAGCGGACCUCAUAAAGUGCGUCGUAGUCCGGAUUGGAGUCUGCAACUCGACUCCAUGAAGUCGGAAUCGCUAGUAAUCGUGGAUCAGAAUGCCACGGUGAAUACGUUCCCGGGCCUUGUACACACCGCCCGUCACACCAUGGGAGUGGGUUGCAAAAGAAGUAGGUAGCUUAACCUUCGGGAGGGCGCUUACCACUUUGUGAUUCAUGACUGGGGUGAAGUCGUAACAAGGUAACCGUAGGGGAACCUGCGGUUGGA
rnacentral:rRNA from 8 species